rnacentral:rRNA from 1 species
UACGGGGGGUGCAAGCGUUGUUCGGAUUUACUGGGCGUAAAGGGCGCGUAGGCGGCCACUGCACUUCGGUUGUGAAAUCUCCGGGCUUAACCCGGAAAGGUCAAUCGAUACUGUAGGGCUAGAGUGCGGAAGGGGCAACUGGAAUUCUCGGUGUAGCGGUGAAAUGCGUAGAUAUCGAGAGGAACACCUGCGGCGAAGGCGGGUUGCUGGGCCGACACUGACGCUGACAGCGCGAAAGCUAGGGGAGCGAACGGG